GAUAGGAGAGCGUUCUAAGGGCGGUGAAGCUAGAUCGCAAGGACUAGUGGAGCGCUUAGAAGUGAGAAUGCCGGUAUGAGUAGCGAAAGAUCAGUGAGAAUCUGAUCCACCGAAUGACCAAGGUUUCCUGGGGAAGGCUCGUCCUCCCAGGGUUAGUCGGGACCUAAGUCGAGGCCGCAAGGCGUAGACGAUGGCCAACAGGUUGAUAUUCCUGUACUAGUAAGAUAUGUUUGAGCGAUGG
rnacentral:ncRNA from 1 species